rnacentral:rRNA from 1 species
UUCGGAUUGUAGGCUGCAACUCGCCUACAUGAAGUCGGAGUUGCUAGUAAUCGCGGAUCAGAAUGCCGCGGUGAAUGCGUUCCCCGGGUCUUGUACACACCGCCCGUCACACCAUGGAAGUUGGGGGCGCCCGAAGUUGCCUAAGAAAUAAGGUACCUAAGGCGAAACCAAUGACUGGGGUGAAGUCGUAACAAGGUAUC